rnacentral:rRNA from 1 species
UACGUAGGGUGCAAGCGUUGUCCGGAAUUAUUGGGCGUAAAGAGCUCGUAGGCGGUUUGUCGCGUCGCUGUGAAAACUCGGGGCUCAACCCCGAGCCUGCAGUCGAUACGGGCAGACUAGAGUGCGGUAGGGGGAGACUGGAAUUCCUGGUGUAGCGGUGAAAUGCGCAGAUAUCAGGAGGAACACCGGUGGCGAAAGGCGGGUCUCUGGGGCCUAACUGACGCUGAGGAGCGAAAGCGUGGGGAGCAAACAGG